UUAGCAGUGGUUGAAACAGAAGCGUUCAAAGGACGGUUUGCAGAACAGCCCUUUUGACUGAAGACAAUGAGAUAUAAAGCAGCGCUUUUUCCUGAGGCAUGAAAGAAUAACUCAAGAGCUUGAACAGUUGAACAGUUUGCCUUCAGUUACAAUACAUGAAGUUCUGUUAGGGUUGUUCAGUGGCCAGCACUCAGGAGUGAGCUCACAGCACGUAACAACUGCAAUUUACUGCAAUGAAGAAAGAGCUUUUCAGCUAUUGCACUGUGCAACUCAGAGUGGCAACUAUGGUACCAACACUGCACCACAGAAACAGUGACAACAGAACUUGGGGGUGCUGGUGGAUGAGAAGCUGGGCAUGAGCCAACGAUGCACACUUGCAGCCCAGAAGGCAAGUCACAUCCUGGCUGCAUCAAAAGAAGAAUGGCCAAGAGAGGUGAUUCUUCCUCUCUGUUCUGGUGAGACCUCACCUGGAGCAUUGUGUCCAGCUCUGGAGGCCAUGAAAGAAGAGAGGCACAGACCUGCUAAAGCAGGUCCAGAGAAGGGCCAAAAUGAUGAUCAGAGGGCUGGGGCACCUCUCUAUGAAAACAAGCUGAAAAAGCCUGGAGAAGAGAAGGCUCUGCAAAGACCUUAUAGCUACAUUUCAAUAUCUGAAGGGGACCUACAGGAAGGCUGGGGGAGGGCUGUUUAGAAGGGCUUGUAGCUAUAGGGGGAGAGGCAAUGGUUUUAAACUGGAGCAGGGUAGAUUUAGGUUGUACAUAAGGAAGAAGUUCCUUACAAUGACAGUGGUAAAAUACUGGAACUGGUUGCUCAGGGAUGUGGCUGAGGCCCUGUUCCUGGAGACAUUCAAGAUCAGACGUGGCAUGGCCCUGGGCAGCCUGAUCUAGUUGCAGUUGUCCCUGAUCACUGCAGGGGGUUGGACAAGAUAGCCUUUGAGGGUCCUUUCCAACCCGAUGCAACCUGUGAAUCUGAAACUGAUCUUGAACAGUAGAUUAGUCACAAUUAAGUCUUUCAGGGAGUUUUGAAUUUCUUGAGCCUAAGCAUAAUGAAAGGGUCCUUUUUCAAUUUAGUAUUCUAUAUGAGAACUAAUGCUGGUUUAUUAGCAGUGUGUGGAUGCUUGCACAUGUGAAUGCAUGAACGUGGCUGCUGAACAGAAAGGUUUGACCUGGACAGUCCAUCUUUUGAGGUUGCUUUGGGUUAGAUUGCAUACACUGUCAGGGUAUGAGAUGCUAUAGCCAUGGCUUUGUCUCUAAGGUCAUGAAACCCUUCCACUCAGGUGCUGCAUGUCAGUACUUCCCCUUGAUAGGUCAGCCAAAAGUUCCAGCUGGCACUGAUGCAGUCAUCAGAGAUGUAAAUGCAAAGGAGAUGGAGGGUGCAGCCACAGCCAUCACUCUGGAAAGGAAGAGACUGGAGGCAGCUUCUGGUUUUGGCAGCAUCAGCUCACCUGCUUCAGUGGUGCAGGAGCCUCAGACCUCACACUGCAGAUGCCAAAAUUAAUUGCAGUAGAAAGGCAGUCCCAAAAAGGAGAUAUUUGUCUGCAUUACCUAAGUAUGUUUUUACAGGGGGAAACAGCAACAGCAUAAGCAAGAGAAUGCAACUCCCACUCCUGCUGCAAGCCAUCCUCUUCACACUUUUUCAGCCUAGCCAGAAUAAAGUAUUCAGUGGUUGUUUCUUGGAUACUGUCACAGGUUCUUUGUAACUGUUGAAUAGAUUCAAAUAUCCCAAACCAUGAUUUUGAGCCAAGCCUAUCUUCUUUAUCGAGUCUGUAUACGUCGGGCCCCCAAGUGCACUAAUAAGCCUUAAUGGCCUCAAUCAGCCUCAGCUGGGGCUUCCAGUCACACCCAUGGCCUCAUAAGUCCCAUUUCAGCUCAGGCUAAGGCUCUCAGCCCCUGAGAACUGCAGCUUUUCAGCUUGUCUACGUCUAUGUCCACACUUCUCUUUCACCAUGAGCCUUGUGGGUUCAGACAACUAGACUAGACACUAGACUAGAUCUUAACCAUGACCUAUAGAUUGAGAUGUGGUACGAGCAAGCUUUUGAACAGCCAUUCCACUGCAGAAGUAAGGAACUGCUACUCAUUCAUCUACAACAGAGGGAAGUUUACAGUUCUGGAAGAACCACUAACGUUUUACAUUCUCCCCACGAUGGAGCCACGCUCUGCUGGCAACGAACUUGGACUCACAAUACCAGCUCAGAGGUGAAAAUAGACCGUGCUCAGCUAACAUCUUUCUGAUUUAUGUUCUCCACAAAGGUGAUGAGCUUUUGAUACAAAGAGGAUUACCCAAGAAGAGAUGUCUGGACUAUCCACUGGUAGAUAGCAUGAGCAGUGCCUGCUCACCGCAGGGUGGAAGAAGGAUCAAAGAGGUGCAGGAAGUAGAGGAAAAGUGAGGAAGAGAGGAACUUGAUCUCUUUUUUCUAACCUGCUCAUCGGGACCCAGGCAGUCUCCUGGCCCAGAAGCUGGCAGUGCUCCCUUCCAAAGGAUC